rnacentral:rRNA from 1 species
GAUGAACGCUGGCGGCGUGCUUAACACAUGCAAGUCGAACGAAGCGCUCCGGACGAUUCUUCGGGAUGAGACUGAGGGACUGAGUGGCGGACGGGUGAGUAACGCGUGGGUAACCUGCCUCGAUACAGGGGAUAACAGUCAGAAAUGGCUGCUAAUACCGCAUAAGCGCACAGUACCGCAUGGUACGGUGUGAAAACUCCGGUGGUAUGAGAUGGACCCGCGUCUGA